rnacentral:rRNA from 1 species
AUUGAACGCUGGCGGAAUGCUUUACACAUGCAAGUCGAACGGCAGCACGGGGCAACCUGGUGGCGAGUGGCGAACGGGUGAGUAAUACAUCGGAACGUGCCCAAUCGUGGGGGAUAACGUAGCGAAAGUUACGCUAAUACCGCAUACGAUCUACGGAUGAAAGCGGGGGAUCGCAAGACCUCGCGCGAAUGGAGCGGCCGAUGUCAGAUUAGGUAGUUGGUGGGGUAAAGGCUCACCAAGCCAACGAUCUGUAGCUGGUCUGAGAGGACGACCAGCCACACUGGAACUGAGACACGGUCCAGACUCCUACGGGAGGCAGCAGUGGGGAAUUUUGGACAAUGGGCGCAAGCCUGAUCCAGCCAUUCCGCGUGCAGGAUGAAGGCCUUCGGGUUGUAAACUGCUUUGUACGGUACGAAACGGUCUGCCCUAAUACGUGGGCUAAUGACGGUACCGUAAGAAUAAGACACCGGCUAACUACGUGCCAGCAGCCGCGGUAAUACGU